rnacentral:rRNA from 1 species
AGUGAACGCUGGCGGUAGGCCUAACACAUGCAAGUCGAACGGCAGCACAGUAAGAGCUUGCUCUUACGGGUGGCGAGUGGCGGACGGGUGAGGAAUACAUCGGAAUCUACUUUUUCGUGGGGGAUAACGUAGGGAAACUUACGCUAAUACCGCAUACGACCUACGGGUGAAAGCAGGGGAUCUUUGGACCUUGCGCGAUUGAAUGAGCCGAUUUCGGAUUAGCUAGUUGGCGGGGUAAAGGCCCACCACGGCGACGAUCCGUAGCUGGUAUGAGAGGAUGAUCAGCCACACUGGAACUGAGACACGGUCCGGACUACUACGGGAGGCAGCCGUGGGGAAUAUUGGACAAUGGGCGCAAGCCUGAUCCAGCCAUACCGCGUGGGUGAAGAAGGCCUUCGGGUUGUAAAGCCCUUUUGUUGGGAAAGAAAAGCAGCAGGUUAAUACCCCGCUGUUCUGACGGUACCCAAAGAAUAAGCACCGGCUAACUUCGUG